UGGGGAAUUUUGGACAAUGGGCGAAAGCCUGAUCCAGCAAUGCCGCGUGUGUGAAGAAGGCCUUCGGGUUGUAAAGCACUUUUGUCCGGAAAGAAAUCCUUGGCUCUAAUACAGUCGGGGGAUGACGGUACCGGAAGAAUAAGCACCGGCUAACUACGUGCCAGCAGCCGCGGUAAUACGUAGGGUGCAAGCGUUAAUCGGAAUUACUGGGCGUAAAGCGUGCGCAGGCGGUUUGCUAAGACCGAUGUGAAAUCCCCGGGCUCAACCUGGGAACUGCAUUGGUGACUGGCAGGCUAGAGUAUGGCAGAGGGGGGUAGAAUUCCACGUGUAGCAGUGAAAUGCGUAGAGAUGUGGAGGAAUACCGAUGGCGAAGGCAGCCCCCUGGGCCAAUACUGACGCUCAUGCACGAAAGCGUGGGGAGCAAACAGGAUUAGAUACCCUGGUAGUCCACGCCCUAAACGAUGUCAACUAGUUGUUGGGGAUUCAUUUCCUAGUAACGUAGCUAACGCGUGAAGUUGACCGCCUGGGGAGUACGGUCGCAAGAUUAAAACUUAAAGGAAUUGAC
rnacentral:rRNA from 1 species